CAGUAGCCACGGUAAUACAGAGGGUGCGAGCGUUAAUCGGAUUUACUGGGCGUAAAGCGUGCGUAGGCGGCUUUUUAAGUCGGAUGUGAAAUCCCUGAGCUUAACUUAGGAAUUGCAUUCGAUACUGGGAAGCUAGAGUAUGGGAGAGGAUGGUAGAAUUUCAGGUGUAGCGGUGAAAUGCGUAGAGAUCUGGAGGAAUACCGAUGGCGAAGGCAGCCAUCUGGCCUAAUACUGACGCUGAGGUACGAAAGCAUGGGGAGCAAACAGGAUUAGAUACCCCAGUAGUCCCUGUCUCUUAUAA
rnacentral:rRNA from 1 species